UGGAUGAUAAUUGGAACUGAUCAACCAUUUCAUGAGCUAUCGAAUUAAUUGUCCCUGCCACUAAAAUUAAUGGAAAGAGAUUCCAUGAGGGCAUCUAGUCUGUCACCCUGAAUCUGAGCUCUGUUUCAUCUCACCCAUCCAUACAGGUCUCUUUUCAGAAGCUGGCAGAAAAUUGAUGCACUCUCACAACAGCCCUGCUCUAAACGAGUCCAGCAGAGCUAAUUUUUCUUCCAUGAGAAUACAAAUAUAUUUUGGCUAUCGGGAUGGAAAGGAAUCAUAAAAUAUGCAUUGCUUAAGUCAAUUACAAUACACCAUAAUGUGUUGUUAGGAAUCUCAGAAAUAAUGUCAUUGGGAGAUGUUGUGAUGGGCAAGGCAAGAUUGAGGCAAAACUCCGGUACCACAGUUUUGGAGUCUCAACCUCAGGACCUUCGCUCCGGUCACUCUCGAGUCCUCAGAGCAAAAGGCAACCUCCAAAGUUCUAUCUCCCACAAGCCCCUUCACUCCUCCAACUGCCACCCUUGUCCCUCCUCCCAACAUUCCAAAAUGGUUCCUCUGUGCCAGUUUCCUUCCUACAAAGUCUAGGGCAAGGAAAGAUUUUCAGUUGUAAAGAGGCUAAUACUGGCCCAGGAAAUAAACCAGACUGGCUAAGUCCA
rnacentral:lncRNA from 1 species